AUUGAACGCUGGCGGCAUGCCUUACACAUGCAAGUCGAACGGUAACAGGUCUUCGGACGCUGACGAGUGGCGAACGGGUGAGUAAUACAUCGGAACGUGCCCAGUCGUGGGGGAUAACUACUCGAAAGAGUAGCUAAUACCGCAUACGAUCUGAGGAUGAAAGCGGGGGACCUUCGGGCCUCGCGCGAUUGGAGCGGCCGAUGGCAGAUUAGGUAGUUGGUGGGAUAAAAGCUUACCAAGCCGACGAUCGGUAGCUGGUCUGAGAGGACGACCAGCCACACUGGGACUGAGAAACGGCCCAGACUCCUACGGGAGGCAGCAGUGGGGAAUUUUGGACAAUGGGCGAAAGCCUGAUCCAGCAAUGCCGCGUGCAGGAUGAAGGCCUUCGGGUUGUAAACUGCUUUUGUACGGAACGAAAAAGUCUCCUCUAAUACAGGAGGCCCAUGACGGUACCGUAAGAAUAAGCACCGGCUAACUACGUGCCAGCAGCCGCCGUAA
rnacentral:rRNA from 1 species